UUAAGCGACUAAGCGUACACGGUGGAUGCCCUGGCAGUCAGAGGCGAUGAAGGACGUGCUAAUCUGCGAUAAGCGUCGGUAAGGUGAUAUGAACCGUUAUAACCGGCGAUUUCCGAAUGGGGAAACCCAGUGUGUUUCGACACACUAUCAUUAACUGAAUCCAUAGGUUAAUGAGGCGAACCGGGGGAACUGAAACAUCUAAGUACCCCGAGGAAAAGAAAUCAACCGAGAUUCCCCCAGUAGCGGCGAGCGAACGGGGAGCAGCCCAGAGCCUGAAUCAGUGUGUGUGUUAGUGGAAGCGUCUGGAAAGGCGCGCGAUACAGGGUGACAGCCCCGUACACAAAAAUGCACAUACUGUGAGCUCGAUGAGUAGGGCGGGACACGUGGUAUCCUGUCUGAAUAUGGGGGGACCAUCCUCCAAGGCUAAAUACUCCUGACUGACCGAUAGUGAACCAGUACCGUGAGGGAAAGGCGAAAAGAACCCCGGCGAGGGGAGUGAAAAAGAACCUGAAACCGUGUACGUACAAGCAGUGGGAGCACGCUUAGGCGUGUGACUGCGUACCUUUUGUAUAAUGGGUCAGCGACUUAUAUUCUGUAGCAAGGUUAACCGAAUAGGGGAGCCGAAGGGAAACCGAGUCUUAACUGGGCGUUAAGUUGCAGGGUAUAGACCCGAAACCCGGUGAUCUAGCCAUGGGCAGGUUGAAGGUUGGGUAACACUAACUGGAGGACCGAACCGACUAAUGUUGAAAAAUUAGCGGAUGACUUGUGGCUGGGGGUGAAAGGCCAAUCAAACCGGGAGAUAGCUGGUUCUCCCCGAAAGCUAUUUAGGUAGCGCCUCGUGAAUUCAUCUCCGGGGGUAGAGCACUGUUUCGGCAAGGGGGUCAUCCCGACUUACCAACCCGAUGCAAACUGCGAAUACCGGAGAAUGUUAUCACGGGAGACACACGGCGGGUGCUAACGUCCGUCGUGAAGAGGGAAACAACCCAGACCGCCAGCUAAGGUCCCAAAGUCAUGGUUAAGUGGGAAACGAUGUGGGAAGGCCAAGACAGCCAGGAUGUUGGCUUAGAAGCAGCCAUCAUUUAAAGAAAGCGUAAUAGCUCACUGGUCGAGUCGGCCUGCGCGGAAGAUGUAACGGGGCUAAACCAUGCACCGAAGCUGCGGCAGCGACGCUUAUGCGUUGUUGGGUAGGGGAGCGUUCUGUAAGCCUGUGAAGGUGUACUGUGAGGUAUGCUGGAGGUAUCAGAAGUGCGAAUGCUGACAUAAGUAACGAUAAAGCGGGUGAAAAGCCCGCUCGCCGGAAGACCAAGGGUUCCUGUCCAACGUUAAUCGGGGCAGGGUGAGUCGACCCCUAAGGCGAGGCCGAAAGGCGUAGUCGAUGGGAAACAGGUUAAUAUUCCUGUACUUGGUGUUACUGCGAAGGGGGGACGGAGAAGGCUAUGUUGGCCGGGCGACGGUUGUCCCGGUUUAAGCGUGUAGGCUGGUUUUCCAGGCAAAUCCGGAAAAUCAAGGCUGAGGCGUGAUGACGAGGCACUACGGUGCUGAAGCAACAAAUGCCCUGCUUCCAGGAAAAGCCUCUAAGCAUCAGGUAACAUCAAAUCGUACCCCAAACCGACACAGGUGGUCAGGUAGAGAAUACCAAGGCGCUUGAGAGAACUCGGGUGAAGGAACUAGGCAAAAUGGUGCCGUAACUUCGGGAGAAGGCACGCUGAUAUGUAGGUGAAGUCCCUCGCGGAUGGAGCUGAAAUCAGUCGAAGAUACCAGCUGGCUGCAACUGUUUAUUAAAAACACAGCACUGUGCAAACACGAAAGUGGACGUAUACGGUGUGACGCCUGCCCGGUGCCGGAAGGUUAAUUGAUGGGGUUAGCGCAAGCGAAGCUCUUGAUCGAAGCCCCGGUAAACGGCGGCCGUAACUAUAACGGUCCUAAGGUAGCGAAAUUCCUUGUCGGGUAAGUUCCGACCUGCACGAAUGGCGUAAUGAUGGCCAGGCUGUCUCCACCCGAGACUCAGUGAAAUUGAACUCGCUGUGAAGAUGCAGUGUACCCGCGGCAAGACGGAAAGACCCCGUGAACCUUUACUAUAGCUUGACACUGAACAUUGAGCCUUGAUGUGUAGGAUAGGUGGGAGGCUUUGAAGUGUGGACGCCAGUCUGCAUGGAGCCGACCUUGAAAUACCACCCUUUAAUGUUUGAUGUUCUAACGUGGACCCGUAAUCCGGGUUGCGGACAGUGUCUGGUGGGUAGUUUGACUGGGGCGGUCUCCUCCUAAAGAGUAACGGAGGAGCACGAAGGUUGGCUAAUCCUGGUCGGACAUCAGGAGGUUAGUGCAAUGGCAUAAGCCAGCUUGACUGCGAGCGUGACGGCGCGAGCAGGUGCGAAAGCAGGUCAUAGUGAUCCGGUGGUUCUGAAUGGAAGGGCCAUCGCUCAACGGAUAAAAGGUACUCCGGGGAUAACAGGCUGAUACCGCCCAAGAGUUCAUAUCGACGGCGGUGUUUGGCACCUCGAUGUCGGCUCAUCACAUCCUGGGGCUGAAGUAGGUCCCAAGGGUAUGGCUGUUCGCCAUUUAAAGUGGUACGCGAGCUGGGUUUAGAACGUCGUGAGACAGUUCGGUCCCUAUCUGCCGUGGGCGCUGGAGAAUUGAGGGGGGCUGCUCCUAGUACGAGAGGACCGGAGUGGACGCAUCACUGGUGUUCGGGUUGUCAUGCCAAUGGCACUGCCCGGUAGCUAAAUGCGGAAGAGAUAAGUGCUGAAAGCAUCUAAGCACGAAACUUGCCCCGAGAUGAGUUCUCCCUGACUCCUUGAGAGUCCUGAAGGAACGUUGAAGACGACGACGUUGAUAGGCCGGGUGUGUAAGCGCAGCGAUGCGUUGAGCUAACCGGUACUAAUGAACCGUGAGGCUUAACCUU
rnacentral:rRNA from 1 species